CACCGCUCUGUUGGAAGAGUUAUUAAAGAUAAGAAUUAAGUAAAAGUAGAACCCUCAGUUAGAUCUUCGCAAGUUUGUCUCGGUAGUGUGUUUCCCUUAGCUUCAUCGUAAUACUUAAUAAUUCAGCUUCUUAGCACAUCGCACUUUCGCGAUACUUUUUAAUGAAUUUAUAUAAGGGACACAAAAUGUCUAAUUCAACUACUGGUACUGUAAAAUGGUUUAACGAAGAGAAAGGUUUCGGCUUUAUCUCUCAAGAGAAUGGCGGCGCUGACGUAUUCGUUCACUUCCGUGCUAUCGCUUCUGAUGGUUUCAAGACUCUUGCAGAAGGUCAGAAAGUAUCUUUUGAAGUUGAGCAAGGUCAAAAAGGCCUUCAAGCUGCUAACGUAGUAGCUCUAUAAUCUAGUUCUCUAGACUAUAAAAUUAAGACCGCCCAUGGGCGGUCUUUUU
rfam:Shewanella woodyi ATCC 51908, complete genome.